rnacentral:rRNA from 1 species
UGGCUAGGACGAACGCUGGCGGCGUGCCUAAUACAUGCAAGUCGAACGGUCUUUCUAUGGAAGCUUGCUUCCACUGAGAAGAUAGUGGCGAACGGGUGAGUAACACGUGGGUAACCUGCCUAUAAGAGGGGGAUAACAUCCGGAAACGGGUGCUAAUACCGCAUAGUUUUCUUGAUCGCAUGAUCGGGAAAGGAAAGACGGCCUUUGUGCUGUCGCUUAUGGAUGGACCCGCGGCGUAUUAGUUAGUUGGUGAGGUAACGGCUCACCAAGACGAUGAUACGUAGCCGACCUGAGAGGGUGAUCGGCCACAUUGGGACUGAGACACGGCCCAAACUCCUACGGGAGGCAGCAGUAGGGAAUCUUCCGCAAUGGACGAAAGUCUGACGGAGCAACGCCGCGUGAGUGAAGAAGGUUUUUCCGGAUCGUAAAACUCUGUUGUCAGAGAAGAACAAGUUGGAGAGUAACUGCUCCAGCCUUGACGGUAUCUGACCAGAAAGCCACGGCUAACUACGUGCCAGCCGCAGC